rnacentral:rRNA from 1 species
GCAAGUCGAGGGGCAGCAUUGGUACUUGUACCAGAUGGCGACCGGCGCACGGGUGCGUAACGCGUAUGCAACCUACCUAUUACUUAGGGAUAGCCUCUAGAAAUGGAGAUUAAUACCUAAUAGCAUCUAAAUACCACCUGGUACUAAGAUUAAAGAUUUAUCGGUAAUAGAUAAGCAUGCGUGACAUUAGCUAGUUGGUAAGGUAACUGCUUACCAAGGCUACGAUGUCUAGGGGAUCUGAGAGGACUACC